AGUGAACGCUGGCGGUAGGCCUAACACAUGCAAGUCGAACGGCAGCACAGGAGAGCUUGCUCUCUGGGUGGCGAGUGGCGGACGGGUGAGGAGUACAUCUGAAUCUACUUUUUCGUGGGGGAUAACGUAGGGAAACUUACGCUAAUACCGCCUACGACCUACGGGUGAAAGCAGGGGAUCUUCGGACCUUGCGCGAUUGAAUGAGCCGAUGUCGGAUUAGCUAGUUGGCGGGGUAAAGGCCCACCAAGGCGACGAUCCGUAGCUGGUCUGAGAGGAUGAUCAGCCACACUGGAACUGAGACACGGUCCAGACUCCUACGGGAGGCAGCAGUGGGGAAUAUUGGACAAUGGGCGCAAGCCUGAUCCAGCCAUACCGCGUGGGUGAAGAAGGCCUUCGGGUUGUAAAGCCCUUUUGUUGGGAAAGAAAUCCAGCUGGUUAAUACCCGGUUGGGAUGACGGUACUCAAAGAAUAAGCACCGGCUAACUUCGUGCCAGCCGCCGCAGUAA
rnacentral:rRNA from 1 species